rnacentral:tRNA from 1 species
AGAAAAAUAAGUUAAAUAUAGACUAUUUGGUUCAUGUCCAAUUUGUAUGGUUUUCCAUUUUUUCUA